AGUGAACGCUGGCGGUAGGCCUAACACAUGCAAGUCGAACGGCAGCACAGUAAGAGCUUGCUCUUACGGGUGGCGAGUGGCGGACGGGUGAGGAAUACAUCGGAAUCUACUUUUUCGUGGGGGAUAACGUAGGGAAACUUACGCUAAUACCGCAUACGACCUACGGGUGAAAGCAGUGGAUCUUCGGACCUUGCGGGAUUGAAUUAGCCGAUGUCGGAUUAGCUAGUUGGCGGGGUAAAGGCCCACCAAGGCGACGAUCCGUAGCUGGUCUGAGAGGAUGAUCGGCCACAUUGGAACGGAGACACGGUCCAGACUCCUACGGGAGGCAGCAGUGGGGAAUAUUGGACAAUGGGCGCAAGCCUGAUACAGCCAUACCGCGUGGGUGAAGAAGGCCUUCGGGUUGUAAAGACCUUUUGUUGGGAAAGAAAAGCAGCAGGUUAAUACCCCGCUGUUCUGACGGUACCCAAAGAAUAAGCACCGGCUAACUUCGUG
rnacentral:rRNA from 1 species